GGUGAACGCUGGCGGUAGGCCUAACACAUGCAAGUCGAACGGCAGCACAGUAAGAGCUUGCUCUUACGGGUGGCGAGUGGCGGACGGGUGAGGAAUACAUCGUAAUCUACUUUUUCGUGGGGGAUAACGUAGGGAAACUUACGCUAAUACCGCAUACGACCUACGGGGGAAAGCAGUGGAUCUUCGGACCUUGCGCGAUUGAAUUAGCCGAUGUCGGAUUAGCUAGUUGGCGGGGUAAAGGCCCAACAAGGCGACGAUCCGUAGCUUGUCUGAGAGGAUGGUCAGCCACACUGGAACUGAGACACGGUCCAGGCUCCUGCGGGAGGCAGCAGUGGGGAAUAUUGGACAAUGGGCGCAAGCCUGAUCCAGCCAUACCGAGUGGGUGAAGAAGGCCUUCGGGUUGUAAAGCCCUUUUGUUGGGAAAGAAAAGCAGCAGGUUAAUACCCCGCUGUUCUGACGGUACCCAAAGAAUAAGCACCGGCUAACUUCGUG
rnacentral:rRNA from 1 species